GACGAACGCUGGCGGCGUGCCUAAUACAUGCAAGUCGAGCGGACAGAAGGGAGCUUGCUCCCGGAAGUUAGCGGCGGACGGGUGAGUAACACGUGGGCAACCUACCCUGUAGAUCGGGAUAACAUCGAGAAAUCGGUGCUAAUACCGGAUAAUCAUUUGAAGUGCAUGCUUCGAAUGUAAAAGAUGGCUCCGGCUAUCACUACGGGAUGGGCCCGCGGCGCAUUAGCUAGUUGGUAAGGUAAUGGCUACCAAGGCAACGAUGCGUAGCUGACCUGAGAGGGUGAUCGGCCACACUGGGACUGAGACACGGCCCAGACUCCUACGGGAGGCAGCAGUAGGGAAUCUUCCGCAAUGGACGAAAGUCUGACGGAGCAACGCCGCGUGAGUGAUGAAGGUUUUCGGAUCGUAAAGCUCUGUUGUUAGGGAAGAACAAGUGCCGUUUGAAUAAGGCGGCACCUUGACGGUACCUAACCAGAAAGCCACGGCUAACUACGUGCCAGCAGCCGCCGCAGUAA
rnacentral:rRNA from 1 species